ACAACUACCAGCCCAACAACCUGUGUUCAGCCACAACUACCAAGCCAGCCUCAGGUCUUUAUUCCUCAACAAGUAUCUCCACUAUUGACUCCCUUUACCUUGUGUCCAACUACAUCUUUAUGCAACCAUGCUGCUAAACCCCUGGUUGACGAGGUAGUGGACGGCAGAGCAUACCACUUCUCAUGGUGUCACGACUCUGGUCGACUCUACACCUGGGAGCAAGCAACUUAUUACUGCUCUGGGCUUGGCAACGGGUCCAGGCAGUCGGUAUUGAAAGUCACAGGAAGCAAGGGUUAAUUUCCAACUGUGAUUACACACUACAUCAGCAACAUCUGGACGAGCGGCAACAAACGGAACUCGAGGUCUCGGUCGUGGUUAUCUGGCACUUCCUCUCCCUACUCUAACUGGUCUAGCACUGGCAGUUGAGA